ensembl:lncRNA LAMA4-AS1 LAMA4 antisense RNA 1
AGCUUCUGGACCACAAAUGGGGUGAACUACUGUAUCGAGAAAGGAGAGAGUAAGACUUGAGAGCUAUCUUUUUAGCUCAGGGUGCAGCUCACAUGGAGCAAUACAGCAUGCCAGAGUUUGUGUCUUGGGCCAAGUACUCAGGGAUGGAGAGUCCACAAGCUGGGCUAUUGAAGAGCUUAGGAGAACCUCAGGAAGGCCUUCAGCCAAGCACCUCCCACUGCUCCAUGCUUGCCUUAAUAUUUUUCUUCAUUCCCUCUGAAGGAGAAUUGCAGAAUAACCAUUCAUAUAAAUCCAAGUAAAGAGAAUGUAUUUUUAGAAUAUCUUCCCAUCCACACAUUGAACCUCUCCCAUGAAUAAUGUGUCCGUGUUCUCUUUCUCUCUCCACAUAUACACAAAUACAGUCUCCUGAGCCA